CUGAACAGCGACGAGACGUCUCACGCUCUUCAGAACUUGGACCCGGACACGGUGUACUCGGUCACCGUCACGGCCAUCUACCCCGACGAGUCCGAGAGCGAAGACCUGAUGGGCAACGAGAGAACACUGUUAGACGCUCCGAAGGUGCCGGCUGAACCUCCCAAAAACUUGAGGGUUUUUAACGCCACCACGUCUUCUCUGACGCUGAAAUGGGACCCGGCUCCCGGCGCCGUGCAGAAUUACAAAAUCAUCUACAAGCCCGGUACUGGAGGAGAGCCG